AGCGAACGCUGGCGGCAGGCCUAACACAUGCAAGUCGAACGAACUCUUCGGAGUUAGUGGCGGACGGGUGAGUAACACGUGGGAACGUGCCUUUUGGUUCGGAAUAACUCAGGGAAACUUGUGCUAAUACCGAAUGUGCCCUUCGGGGGAAAGAUUUAUCGCCAUUAGAGCGCCCCGCGUCUGAUUAGCUAGUUGGUGAGGUAACGGCUCACCAAGGCGACGAUCAGUAGCUGGUCUGAGAGGAUGACCAGCCACACUGGGACUGAGACACGGCCCAGACUCCUACGGGAGGCAGCAGUGGGGAAUCUUGCGCAAUGGGCGAAAGCCUGACGCAGCCAUGCCGCGUGAAUGAUGAAGGUCUUAGGAUUGUAAAAUUCUUUCACCGGGGACGAUAAUGACGGUACCCGGAGAAGAAGCCCCGGCUAACUUCGUG
rnacentral:rRNA from 1 species